rnacentral:rRNA from 1 species
GACGAACGCUGGCGGCGUGCUUAACACAUGCAAGUCGAGCGGUAAGGCCCUUUCGGGGGUACACGAGCGGCGAACGGGUGAGUAACACGUGGGUGACCUGCCCUCAGCUCUGGGAUAAGCCUGGGAAACUGGGUCUAAUACCGGAUAUGACUCCAUGACGCAUGUUGUGGGGUGGAAAGCCUUGUGCGGCUGAGGAUGGGCCCGCGGCCUAUCAGCUUGUUGGUGGGGUGANGGCCUACCAAGGCGACGACGGGUAGCCGGCCUGAGAGGGCGACCGGCCACACUGGGACUGAGACACGGCCCAGACUCCUACGGGAGGCAGCAGUGGGGAAUCUUGCGCAAUGGGCGAAAGCCUGACGCAGCGACGCCGCGUGAGGGAUGACGGCCUGGUGUAAC